GACGAACGCUGGCGGCGUGCUUAACACAUGCAAGUCGAACGGAAAGGCCCUGCUUUUGUGGGGUGCUCGAGUGGCGAACGGGUGAGUAACACGUGAGUAACCUGCCCUUGACUUUGGGAUAACUUCAGGAAACUGGGGCUAAUACCGGAUAGGAGCUCCUGCUGCAUGGUGGGGGUUGGAAAGUUUCGGCGGUUGGGGAUGGACUCGCGGCUUAUCAGCUUGUUGGUGGGGUAGUGGCUUACCAAGGCUUUGACGGGUAGCCGGCCUGUGAGGGUGACCGGCCACGUGGGUACUGAGAUAGGGCCCAGACUCCUACGGGGGGCAGCAGUGGGGAGUCUUGCACAAUGGGACCAAGCCUGUUGCAGCAACGCCGCGUGCGGGAUGACGGCCUGCGGGUUGAAAACCGCAUUCGGAUGUGACGAAGCGUGAGUGACGGUAAUGUGUGAAGAAGCACCGGCUAACUACGUG
rnacentral:rRNA from 1 species